rnacentral:rRNA from 1 species
AGAGGUUUAAGAUACCAGCACUAACGCACCGGAUCCCAUCAGAACUCCGAAGUUCAAGCACGCGUGAGCGAGAGAGUAGUACUAGGAUGGGUGACCCCAUGGGAAGUCCUCGUGUUGCAUCCC